GUCCGCACGGUAAACGAUGGAUGCCCGCUGUUGGUCUGAAUAGGUCAGCGGCCAAGCGAAAGCAUUAAGCAUCCCACCUGGGGAGUACGCCGGCAACGGUGAAACUCAAAGGAAUUGACGGGGGCCCGCACAAGCGGAGGAACAUGUGGUUUAAUUCGAUGAUACGCGAGGAACCUUACCCGGGCUUGAAUUGCAGAGGAAGGAUUUGGAGACAAUGACGCCCUUCGGGGCCUCUGUGAAGGUGCUGCAUGGUU
rnacentral:rRNA from 1 species